rnacentral:rRNA from 1 species
GACGAACCGUGCGAACGUUGUUCGGAAUCACUGGGCUUAAAGGGCGCGUAGGCGGGCAGGCAAGUCAGGGGUGAAAUCCCACGGCUCAACCGUGGAAGUGCCUUUGAUACAGCACGUCUCGAGUCCGGAAGAGGUGGGCGGAAUUCCUAGUGUAGAGGUGAAAUUCGUAGAUAUUAGGAAGAACACCGGUGGCGAAGGCGGCCCACUGGUCCGGUACUGACGCUGAGGUGCGAAAGCGUGGGGAGCAAACAGG